UUGAACGCUGGCGGCGUGCUUAACACAUGCAAGUCGAUCGGUAACAGGUGUAGCAAUACAUGCUGACGAGAGGCGGACGGGUGAGUAAUGCUUGGGAAUCUGCCUAUUAGUGGGGGGACAACCCGGGGAAACUCGGGCUAAUACCGCAUACGCUCUACGGAGGAAAGCCGGGGACCGCAAGGCCUGGCGCUAAUAGAUGAGCCCAAGUCGGAUUAGCUAGUUGGUAGGGUAACGGCCACCAAGGCGACAAUCCGUAGCUGGUCUGAGAGGACGACCAGCCACACCGGAACUGAGACACGGUCCGGACUCCUACGGGAGGCAGCAGU
rnacentral:rRNA from 1 species